rnacentral:rRNA from 1 species
AUUGAACGCUGGCGGAAUGCUUUACACAUGCAAGUCGAGCGGCAGCGCGGGGCAACCUGGCGGCGAGCGGCGAACGGGUGAGUAAUGCAUCGGAACGUACCCUGUCGUGGGGGAUAACUAUCCGAAAGGAUAGCUAAUACCGCAUACGACCUGAGGGUGAAAGCGGGGGACCGAAAGGCCUCGCGCGAUGGGAGCGGCCGAUGUCGGAUUAGCUAGUUGGUGAGGUAAAGGCUCACCAAGGCGACGAUCCGUAGCGGGUCUGAGAGGACGACCCGCCACACUGGAACUGAGACACGGUCCAGACUCCUACGGGAGGCAGCAGUGGGGAAUUUUGGACAAUGGGCGCAAGCCUGAUCCAGCCAUUCCGCGUGAGUGAAGAAGGCCUUCGGGUUGUAAAGCUCUUUCGGCAGGGAAGAAACGGUGUGGGCUAAUACCCUGCAUUAAUGACGGUACCUGAAGAAGAAGCACCGGCUAACUACGUGCCAGCAGCCGCAGUAAAAC